AUGGAACAGACAUAGGCUGGAAAUUCCAUGCUUUGUGAGGUAAAUAAAUGGGUAGCAGUCCACAUUUACUUGCUACCAUUCUGUCUGGUGUACUGGUAAUAUCUGGACUGGUUUAAUGGCUUGUUUCAUGGGAGAAGCGCUAAACUUUACCUCAACAUUUAUGUAAAGUUAAAGCUGCACAGAAUAAACCAAGAUUCUGAGUCUUGAAAGUUUAUUUCAAAGAAAAGACAAUGCCUGUGCCACAUAUUUGACUUGGUUUUAUAAAUAUUACGAAGCUCCAGGAAAUAUGAGCAGGAUCUCAAAUAUAUUCAACAAGCUUCCAAUUUUUGUCUUUUGAGAUGGUUGCUCUUGGAACACAGAAAUAUGCUUUAAGAUGUCAAGCCUCCUCUGCUGAUGCUGUAUGGAGAACAGACAAGCUUUCCCAUCAAGCCCUAACCAAACUGCAGAACUGUGAAUAAAAUCAAUAAUUGUUAUGAAAAGGCACUAAGCUUUGCAGAGGUUAUUUAUGUGGCAAUGGAGCAUAAGACAGAUACCAUAAUAUUGGCUUUGUAAGAAUUAGCAUCAUUGAAUAGCAUCUAUUAGGG
rnacentral:lncRNA from 1 species